rnacentral:misc_RNA from 1 species
CAAAAGCUCUAAGCUGUUAAAAUACGAAUGAGCUUGGCAGUACAAUAAGGACCAGGUUUGCCCCAUCCAUCUUGUUGACAAGUGACAUCUGCUGCUACACUGAGUCAGGAAAGAUGUGCUUCCUUUUUAUUAUUUGUCUGGGUUAGUUUCACUUUGAAUUCCUCGGAAUCUUGAUAUUCAUAUAAUGAGAAGGGUAUGCAAAUAUCACAGCUCCUUAUUACCAUCAGACAAGAUGCCCAGACAUUGUCAACCCAAAACCAAAACUAAUUAUAAAUUAUUAAGUUUUUAAAUUUUCAAAUUUUAAAGAGUUUUGUUUGUGGUGCAUAUGUGGUGGAAAGAAGAAGGAAAAACCAUUAUAAUGACAAGAAUAUUUGAACAUGUUCCAAAAAGUUCAGAAACUACAAAGAAUUACAACUUUCAAGCAAUAGAUUCCACAUUGCAGCCUAUACAAACAAAGCCCAUUGAGGCGUUCCAAAAAUAACCUCAUAACAAAAUGAAUAUUAAGCAGAGACACUGCAACAUAUGGUAUAAAUAUUGGACAAACAGCACCAUGAAUUAAUUACUAAAAAGGCAUGAAAUCAUCACUGGCCAUUCCUGAUCACGAAUGGCUCCCAUUCUUUCAUCCGAUAAUGUCACCCACGAAUUAAGCCUGGGUGGGUUGUACAUACCUUCAACCCAUAAAGCCUCUCCAGUAUCUUUAUGCUGGAAAUCAGGAUAUUUUGGCUCCUCUGUAAAUCAUAAGAAGUAAUUGGGAUUGGAAUCUGAUGGUUGAAGAAUCUGCAACACAUAAACAACUGAACAAUCAGUUUCAACUCAAUAUAAUAUUUGCGAAGAAAGUUCUAAAGCAAAGGACUCUAAUCUAACUGGCUAAUUUCAUGAAAUGCUAUGAAUGAAAGACGACUGAUAGAAUAAUCCAUAUUCAGUUAGUAGGUCACACGAAGGCAUUAAUACACGACUGAUAGGCAUUUUGCCAAGGUAAAUCAGUAUCCAUAUUCAGUUAUGCUCCCACAGAAGGAUGUAUCAGAUAUGAAGAAUAUUGUGGUAAAGUAAUGCUAGACUCCGAACAUUUUCCAACUAGAAACAGAGAGGACUACCUUGUUCUUUCUAUUAUCCCAACACUCCAAAGGAUUAGCAAAAGGGCUUGAUAUAGUUCUUCUGUGGAUCCUGUGCAGUUUGCAGCGUCAUUGCCAAACUUGUUCUGCCAAUAAUUAAAUAUCAAAUAACAUGCACAUGACAAUUUCACUUUUUUUUUUUUUUUUU